GAUGAACGCUGGCGGCGUGCCUAAUACAUGCAAGUCGAGCGAACGGACGAGAAGCUUGCUUCUCUGAUGUUAGCGGCGGACGGGUGAGUAACACGUGGAUAACCUACCUAUAAGACUGGGAUAACUUCGGGAAACCGGAGCUAAUACCGGAUAAUAUUUUGAACCGCAUGGUUCAAAAGUGAAAGACGGUCUUGCUGUCACUUAUAGAUGGAUCCGCGCUGCAUUAGCUAGUUGGUAAGGUAACGGCUUACCAAGGCAACGAUGCAUAGCCGACCUGAGAGGGUGCUCGGCCACACUGGAACUGAGACACGGUCCAGACUCGUACGGGAGGCAGCAGUAGGGAAUCUUCCGCAAUGGGCGAAAGCCUGACGGAGCAACGCCGCGUGAGUGAUGAAGGUCUUCGGAUCGUAAAACUCUGUUAUUAGGGAAGAACAUAUGUGUAAGUAACUGUGCACAUCUUGACGGUACCUAAUCAGAAAGCCACGGCUAACUACGUG
rnacentral:rRNA from 1 species